rnacentral:rRNA from 1 species
UACGGAGGAUGCAAGCGUUGUUCGGAAUCACUGGGCUUAAAGAGCAUGUAGGUGGGGUGUCAGGCGUCGGGUGAAAUCCCUCGGCUCAACCGAGGAACUGCCUGGCGAACCGGCAUUCUUGAGGCAGGUAGAGGUGGCUGGAACGACAGGUGGAGCGGUGAAAUGCGUAGAUAUCUGUUGGAACGCCGGCGGCGAAAGCGAGCCACUGGGCCUGUCCUGACACUGAGAUGCGAAAGCGUGGGGAGCAAACAGG